AUUGAACGCUGGCGGCAGGCCUAACACAUGCAAGUCGAGCGGAGGAAGGGAGCUUGCUCCUGGAUUCAGCGGCGGACGGGUGAGUAAUGCCUAGGAAUCUGCCUUGUAGUGGGGGAUAACGUCCGGAAACGGGCGCUAAUACCGCAUACGUCCUGAGGGAGAAAGUGGGGGAUCUUCGGACCUCACGCUAUCAUAUGAGCCUAGGUCGGAUUAGCUAGUUGGUGGGGUAAAGGCCUACCAAGGCGACGAUCCGUAACUGGUCUGAGAGGAUGAUCAGUCACACUGGAACUGAGACACGGUCCAGACUCCUGCGGGAGGCAGCAGUGGGGAAUAUUAGGCAGUGGGCGAAAGCCUGAUCCAGCCAUGCCGCGUGUGUGAAGAAGGUCUUCGGAUUGUAAAGCCCUUUUAGUUGGGAGGAAGGGCAGUAAGUUAAUACCUUGCUGUUUUGACGGUACCUACAGAAUAAGCACCGGCUAACUUCGUG
rnacentral:rRNA from 1 species